rnacentral:rRNA from 1 species
AGUGAACGCUGGCGGUAGGCCUAACACAUGCAAGUCGAACGGCAGCACAGUAAGAGCUUGCUCUUACGGGUGGCGAGUGGCGGACGGGUGAGGAAUACAUCGGAAUCUACUUUUUCGUGGGGGAUAACGUAGGGAAACUUACGCUAAUACCGCAUAUGACCUACGGGUGAAAGCAGGGGAUCUUCGGACCUUGCGCGAUUGAAUUAGCCGAUGUCGGAUUAGCUAGUUGGCGGGGUAAAGGCCCACCAAGGCGACGAUCCGUAGCUGGUCUGAGAGGAUGAUCAGCCACACUGGAACUGAGACACGGUCCAGACUCCUACGGGAGGCAGCAGUGGGGAAUAUUCGACAAUGGGCGCAAGCCUGAUCCAGCCAUACCGCGUGAGUGAAGAAGGCCUUCGGGUUGUAAAGCCCUUUUGUUGGGAAAGAAAAGCAGCAGGUUAAUACCCCGCUGUUCUGACGGUACCCAAAGAAUAAGCACCGGCUAACUUCGUG